GCGGGUAUAGCUCAGUGAUAGAGUGUAUGCUUAGCAUGCAUGAGGUCCUGGGUUCAAUCCCCAGUGCCUUCA
rnacentral:tRNA from 1 species